rnacentral:rRNA from 1 species
UACGGAGGGGGCUAGCGUUUUUCGGAAUUACUGGGCGUAAAGGGCGCGUAGGCGGUCGAUCAAGUUAGGUGUGAAAGCCCUGGGCUUAACCCGGGAACUGCACUUAAUACUGAUUGGCUAGAGACCGGGAGAGGUGAGUGGAAUUCCCAGUGUAGAGGUGAAAUUCGUAGAUAUUGGGAAGAACACCAGUGGCGAAGGCGGCUCACUGGCCCGGUUCUGACGCUGAGGCGCGAAAGCGUGGGGAGCAAACAGG